rnacentral:tRNA from 1 species
CAUUAAGUGGCUGAAAGUAAGUACUGGUCUCUUAAACCAUUUUAUAAUAAUUAACAACUAUUCUUAAUGA